rnacentral:rRNA from 1 species
UACGUAGGGGGCAAGCGUUGUCCGGAUUUAUUGGGCGUAAAGAGCGUGUAGGCGGCUAGGUAGGUCCGUUGUGAAAACUCGAGGCUCAACCUCGAGACGUCGAUGGAAACCAUCUGGCUAGAGUCCGGAAGAGGAGAGUGGAAUUCCCGGUGUAGAGGUGAAAUUCGUAGAUAUCGGGAGGAACACCAGUGGCGAAGGCGGCGAUCUGGGAAGAUACUGACGCUGAGGUGCGAAAGCGUGGGGAGCAAACAGG